rnacentral:rRNA from 1 species
GAUGAACGCUGGCGGCGUGCCUAAUACAUGCAAGUCGAGCGAACAGAUAAGGAGCUUGCUCCUUUGACGUUAGCGGCGGACGGGUGAGUAACACGUGGGUAACCUACCUAUAAGACUGGGAUAACUUCGGGAAACCGGAGCUAAUACCGGAUAACAUUUGGAACCGCAUGGUUCUAAAGUGAAAGAUGGUUUUGCUAUCACUUAUAGAUGGACCCGCGCCGUAUUAGCUAGUUGGUAAGGUAACGGCUUACCAAGGCAACGAUACGUAGCCGACCUGAGAGGGUGAUCGGCCACACUGGAACUGAGACACGGUCCAGACUCCUACGGGAGGCAGCAGUAGGGAAUCUUCCGCAAUGGGCGAAAGCCUGACGGAGCAACGCCGCGUGAGUGAUGAAGGGUUUCGGCUCGUAAAACUCUGUUAUUAGGGAAGAACAAAUGUGUAAGUAACUGUGCACGUCUUGACGGUACCUAAUCAGAAAGCCACGGCUAACUACAUG